CAAUCGGUCCUUUUCAGGACCCCUAACAUUUCUUUAAAAGAGCUU
rfam:Drosophila mojavensis strain TSC#15081-1352.22 Ctg01_10998, whole genome shotgun sequence.